rnacentral:lncRNA from 1 species
GGUAAUCUGUAGGAGCAAGAGAAAUUUUGAUACACUAACUUUUGGUUCUUAAACUCUGUUCUUCAGGGUUAUUUCUGUGGUGAAUGCUUCCAUACUAGUGAUAUAAUUAGCCUGAAUCAAAUGCCAAUUACUGGCUCUUCUGUUGACGUAGUAGUAUUCGCGGGCUUUUACAUCUACUUAAUAUUAGUCACAGUCAGCACCAUUUCUUCAAUAAGUUAAUAACAUAAAAAUGAACCUAAACUUGACACCAAAUUAUAACUUUGACCUUAAACUUUGAUAGUGCACAAAUAUGACCUUUAACUAUUCAAAACUGCACAAAUAUGACCUCCAAUCCUACGUGGCAAAAUGCGUGUUCAACACGCAAAACUGGGCGCUUCCAGCUUAAAAUCUAAGGGCAUAAUACAUAAAUAUGACCUUAAACUUUGACAGUGCACAAAUAUGACCUUUAAAUGACUCUUCACUAUUAUUUUUUCAUUAUUUUUGGCUCAAAGAUGAAAAUAACAUCUAAUUUCUUUUGUCAUUGCGGAAAAAGAGCAAUAUUGAAGAUUUAUUAAUUAGGCGGGUCAGCCUCAUACGAAAAAAUCGAGCGGGUAUGUAUAUAUAUUAUAAAGCAGAGGACGAAUUUAAGUUAUAUAAUAUAUCUAAAUAUUAUUUAUUUAAAUAUUAAAUUAAAGAUG